rnacentral:rRNA from 1 species
UACGGAGGGGACUAGCGUUGUUCGGAAUUACUGGGCGUAAAGCGCACGUAGGCGGAUUUGUAAGUCAGGGGUGAAAUCCCGGGGCUCAACCCCGGAACUGCCUUUGAUACUGCAAAUCUCGAGUCCGGAAGAGGUGAGUGGAAUUCCUAGUGUAGAGGUGAAAUUCGUAGAUAUUAGGAAGAACACCAGUGGCGAAGGCGGCGACCUGGUCCGAUACUGACGCUGAGGCGCGAAAGCGUGGGGAUCAAACAGG